rnacentral:rRNA from 1 species
GACAGAGGUGCCGAGCGUUAGGCGGAAUCACUGGGCUUAAAGCGUGUGUAGGCGGAUCUGUAAGUACCUUGUGAAAUCCCACGGCUCAACCGUGGAACUGCUUGGUAUACUGCGGGUCUUGAGCCACCUAGGGGCAAGUGGAACAAACGGUGGAGCGGUGAAAUGCGUAGAUAUCGUUUGGAACGCCAAUGGUGAAAACAACUUGCUGGGGGUGUGCUGACGCUGAGACACGAAAGCCAGGGGAG